rnacentral:rRNA from 1 species
UACGAAGGGGGCUAGCGUUGCUCGGAAUCACUGGGCGUAAAGGGUGCGUAGGCGGGUCUUUAAGUCAGGGGUGAAAUCCUGGAGCUCAACUCCAGAACUGCCUUUGAUACUGGCGAUCUCGAGUCCGGGAGAGGUGAGUGGAACUGCGAGUGUAGAGGUGAAAUUCGUAGAUAUUCGCAAGAACACCAGUGGCGAAGGCGGCUCACUGGCCCGGUACUGACGCUGAGGCGCGAAAGCGUGGGGAGCAAACAGGG